rnacentral:rRNA from 1 species
AACGAACGCUGGCGGCAUGCCUAACACAUGCAAGUCGAACGAGACCUUCGGUCUAGUGGCGCACGGGUGCGUAACGCGUGGGAAUCUGCCCUUGGGUUCGGAAUAACAGUUAGAAAUGACUGCUAAUACCGGAUAAUGUCUUCGGACCAAAGAUUUAUCGCCCAGGGAUGAGCCCGCGUAGGAUUAGCUAGUUGGUGAGGUAAAGGCUCACCAAGGCGACGAUCCUUAGCUGGUCUGAGAGGAUGAUCAGCCACACUGGGACUGAGACACGGCCCAGACUCCUACGGGAGGCAGCAGUGGGGAAUAUUGGACAAUGGCGAAAGCCUGAUCCAGCAAAUGCCGCGUGAGUGAUGAAGGCCUUAGGGUUGUAAAGCUCUUUUACCCGGGUAUGAUAAUGACAGUACCGGGAGAAUAAAG